ensembl:lncRNA
CCUGAUGACAUGGGUGAGCCACUUAUGCAUACAUGCUGACUCUGAAAAUAUAAAGAUCAGAAUAUAUUAAACACAAAUGGAUGGAUCGAUUACAAUAACAUCAUCCUAUUUUAUUUGACGUGAGGAUAAUAAGGAAGGGCAGUGCGAUAUAAAAAAAACACAUCCAAGUACCAUUCACCUACUGUCCUGCCAUAGUGCUCCAUACCAUUUAAAUACUGUCCUGCGCCACUGUGUCAUGCUAUUUCUUCACUAUCCUGUGCGAUUUACCUAACCCUUUCAUGGGACAGUAAUCAAAUGGCACAAGACAGCAGAUUAGUACCAUAGUACUGUACUGUAAGUUAUUAUCUCUGAAAAGUUUGUGAUUCAAGUCUGCACAGUUUCUUCUCCUACUGCUACUGGAAAGAAGGGUGAUAAUCUCAUAUUUUUUAUUUUUGCAGGACGCAUAGACAUGCUGACGAUCAUGGCCAUGCGCUGGAACCAACAAAAGUUUGACAACUUGGCUUCUACCCUUGCCCGCCGAUAUCGGAAGGUAAAGACACCAGUUUUCCCUUAUGCAAAAUGCAUAGCGAUAUUGUAAAAUAAAGCAAAUAAAUGGCAUAUAUCACAAAAAUAUAGAGAACACUUGCCCAGAUAUUCUUUAAUAUAUAUUAAAUAUACGGAUGGUUGCAUGUGUAGUGUCAAUUGUAUUUUUUAGUGUCUUGAUAUAAAAUAUUACAUGUUCAUACCACAUAUAUUGAUAGUCCACGUAUAUACGAAUAUACUGUAUAUUUAAUUAGUGUUGUAUGUGGUUUUCUAAUAGUGAAGGUACUUCACAAUCCUUAUCAACAAUAGUCAAAGUGGUAGGCGUUUUCCUCAUUGUCAUUUAUGUUUGAAGGCCACAAUAGCCCUGCAAUGCCAGUUGCAUAACCUGGAGGCCAUGAAAACGGAAAUGGACGUCUCAGACAAUCAACUGGAGAGGUGGAUCAUUGAUAUCAAUGAGUGGGCAGAAGCAACAACAUCCCCAAAUGAUGCUGAUGUUGCCGCUGUUGCCAGCCGAAUUGAGGAGCUGGUGGCAAGUGUUAAGAGGAGGUCCCAGCGUCUUUACAAGGAUAGUGACGGAUGCAAAGGACGUGCCCGAAUCCGCCGAAAGAUCAGGGAGGAAAAAUCUUAAAUUCUGUAGUGGAAAAAGUACAACACCUUGGUUCCUAAUGCAGAAAAAAACUGUCAUUGGACACCAUUCUAUCUGACGAGAUUGUUUGGCCAUGGCAGCUUACACACGGUGACUCUGUUGAUCUAAGGACAAAGAGGAAGGCGUUCGACAUUGUGAUGGCAGUAAGGAGACUUGAGGAGGAGAAGAGGAUUCUUAUUGCAGAGAUGAACAAGCAUUGGAAGUCUCUUUGCUCCCGUGCAGACACCCUGAAGCAGAUGUCAUCCAAGCUUUCUAAUGUGACAUCAGGUAUGUAUUUGUUAUACUUGGCAUACAUUACAAUAUUUCUGAAUGUUUUUUUAAUUAAUAAAGGCUCAAUAUGUUUUUAACAUGUAAGGUGAGACUUGGGGCCUGCUUCAAGAUGGUAUCCGAGGUCUACAAAGCUUGACGAUGAAGAACAAGCGAGCAAGCAACAGCCUGGCAAAGCAUGCAAAAGAAAUAUUAUGUUCAAGUUCUGACUGAAACAGAAAUUAACUUUGAUAGUGAUUCUGAGGAAUACCAUACCAGUAGUGACUCUGAGCAAGAUUAAACAUGGCCAGAGUCCUUUUUUUAUGCUGUUGUGUGCUGGGGAGGCAGCAUUAAAGAAGAGGGCCGCUGGGACAGGUUGUUAAGGAAAGCUGGCUCUGUGUUUGGCAUGGAGCUGGAGUUAAUUAUUUAACAAACUGAGGAUAAUUUGCAGUAGCAGUCUUCUGUCAUGCUCAACAUUGAGGAGGUCCUUUGUCCCCAGGGCAUACCAGCAACUCAAUGUCACAGAAAAGGUUAGGGGAGAAAUUGACUUUUUCAGCAUGAGUCUCACCCUGCGCCAACCAUUACAUCGCUUUGUCUAUUGUCUAGUAUCCACUAUCCAUUUGACUGUCUUACAGGCUACAUUAGCCCCUCUACACAUUCUGAACUGUGGUUUCAACAUUUACCCCUGUUGGCUUGUAUAAUCUUUUUUCUUUUUUUAUAUAUAUUUAAGUUUCUGUUUUUUUCUAUCUAUUUUUAACUUCUUUGUAUUGUUUUUUUGUUAAGCAAUACUAUUAUGCUCAGACUCUUUUUUUCCAUAGUCAUAUUAAACAUGCACAGCUUUGCACUGAUUAAAUCCCUGCACUGUUUACUUUUUGCACUACCACCACUGCAAAUCACUCUAUAGUUGCCCAUCAUGUAUCACAGGGUCAGUCCCUACCAGGCCUUUGUAAUCACUUGACAUGCUCUUCACUUUUUUUACAUUUGUGAUUUUUUUGUUAUGUGUCUGAGUUGUGUGUUGUUUUUUUGUGGUUGUAUAAGCUAAUAAAUGCC